UGGGGAAUAUUGCACAAUGGGCGGAAGCCUGAUGCGGCAACGCCGCGUGCGGGAUGACGGCCUUCGGGUUGUAAACCGCUUUCGCCUGUGGCGAAGCGUGAGUGACGGUAAUGGGUAAAGAAGCACCGGCUAACUACGUGCCAGCAGCCGCGGUGAUACGUAGGGUGCGAGCGUUGUCCGGAUUUAUUGGGCGUAAAGGGCUCGUAGGUGGUUGAUCGCGUCGGAAGUGUAAUCUUGGGGCUUAACCCUGAGCGUGCUUUCGAUACGGGCUGACUUGAGGAAGGUAGGGGAGAAUGGAAUUCCUGGUGGAGCGGUGGAAUGCGCAGAUAUCAGGAGGAACACCAGUGGCGAAGGCGGUUCUCUGGGCCUUUCCUGACGCUGAGGAGCGAAAGCGUGGGGAGCGAACAGGCUUAGAUACCCUGGUAGUCCACGCUGUAAACGGUGGGUACUAGGUGUGGGGUCCAUUCCACGGGUUCCGUGCCGUAGCUAACGCUUUAAGUACCCCGCCUGGGGAGUACGGCCGCAAGGCUAAAACUUAAAGGAAUUGACGGGGUCAUAGCUGUUUCC
rnacentral:rRNA from 1 species